CUUGGUCUGAAGGGGCACAAGUACCUAUGAGGACAUUUGCAUAUCUCAAAAAACAUGGCCGCCAUUGGCCAAACAAUUUUAAGCACCUAUUUGAAAGGGUUAACGGAUGUUGAUCGGAACGAAACUCGCUGGGUACGUUCGACUCAUGAACCUUAAGGUCUGUAAGAAUUUUGAAAGAAAUCGGCCACUAGUUGGCGCUAACGAGUUUUAUGGCUCUGUAAUCACGUGGUGUUUCACAUAUCAACACAAUAUGCAUAUCAUUUGAUAGAUCUCCUCGUAAUGCACAACUUUGCCUCAAGAACCAUUGCUGUCAAUCAAAUCGUUCAAUUGUUAUUCACAAAUAUGUUAAAAACAUACUUUUGCGAACUAGUCCUAGGUUUUUUGCCCGAUCGGAACCAAACCACUGCAGUAAUAUUCUGUGGACUCUCUAGAUCAAUAAUUAUUAAAAAAAUGUUGAAUUUUGUCCUUUGGUUAGCUGUAAAGGGAUAAUUUAGAAAAAGGGGUGUGGCCAAACAUACCCCAAAGCCUAUAAAACCUAAAGGAAAACUCAAAACUUUAUGAAACUCAGUGAAAUCAUGUAACAGGUGACUCUUAACAAGCAUGCAAAGUUUCAUGGAGAUCAGACCAUAGGUGGCGCUAUAACAGUAGAAAAGGUCUCAAAACACAAGAUUUAUAUGGUAAAUGGCCUCAAAUUGUUUGAAAAUGUUCAUAUAUUCACUCAAAAACACUAAAUCUUCAUAUCAUAUGAUAAAUCUCCUCAUUCUGAACAACUUUGCCUCUGGGACCAAUGUUGUCAAUAAAGCUGUUAAUUAAAUAUUCAAGAUUAUUUAAAAAAGUUACUUUGGCAUACUUGUGAUACGGUUUAAGAUGAAAAUCAAUAAAACCACUGAAGUACAAUUCUCUAGACUCUGAAGGUCAAUAAUUAUCAAAAACAUGUUGAACAAUUGCAUUUGGACAACUAUAAACCAGUAAUUUUAUAGUAUGUUCUUUUCAUAGUGUACACAAAGGCCUAUUUAUACAAACAGAAAGCCCACACAUUAUCAAAACUGUGUAAAACAAUGCAUAAUUUCAUUCUAAACAAGCAUGCAAAAUUUAAGAGUGAUUGGGCAAAAAAAAAAAAAAAACACUAUAACAGUUAUGUUUAAAAACACAGUGUUGCUUGAGUAAAUGCAAUUUAUAACCUCUAGAUGGCAGUGGAAGACCACUAAUGGGCUCAUUCAGUUAAGUUGAACAGUACUGUUGAAAGGAUUCAUGAAUUCAUCCCAAAACAUUAAAAAUGUAACUGUUAUAACAUUUUAAA